rnacentral:lncRNA from 1 species
GUAUAAGUGUUUUUACACUGUCAACAAAUCAUCCAGCAUAAGUUAACUAUCAUUGACUCUCAACCAAUUUUAAUACAAAUCAAUGGUGUAUAAUAUGCUGACAGUGUAAAAAAGAGUUAACAAUGAUGUAAUGUGAACACAUACCUUUGUGCUGAUCUUCACUGUAACAAAGAGUUGCCAUUCUUCUCACCCCUUUUUGUAUUCCUUCAUGUCUGAUAUUUUGCUAGUAAACAUCCCACAUGUUAUUAAUAUUCGAAAUUCUUAUGUUUAACAAAAUGAAAUUUUAACUAAUUAAAUACAUAAAAAUAUCCUUAUAAAACCAAGUAUCUCUAAAAAUAGAUUGCACAUAUAACAAAUGAAAUUCUUAAUCAUGCAAUAUAUGUUGUUGAAUUGGGUAUACUCAAUCCCAAAUUUCCAAUUUGAGGAAGAAUCCAAAAUGAACCAGUUCAAAGAGAGAAUGAUAAACAUAAUAAGCAGUUAAUAGGAAUGAAUAUUUUUAGGGUUGAGAACAAGAGAUUUAAAGUUAGAAAAUUACCCAACUGUUUUAUGUGGAUGAUGAUCUCUUAAAUAUUGUUUCCAGGUACACAAGUAACUCAUUUAUUUC